rnacentral:rRNA from 1 species
AGUCGACGCUCCGCAAGGAGAGUGGCAGACGGGUGAGUAACGCGUGGGAAUCUACCCAACCCUACGGAAUAGCUCCGGGAAACUGGAAUUAAUACCGUAUACGCCCUUAGGGGGAAAGAUUUAUCGGGGAUGGAUGAGCCCGCGUUGGAUUAGCUAGUUGGUGGGGUAAAGGCCUACCAAGGCGAUGAUCAGUAGUUGGUCUGAGAGGAUGACCAGCCAGAGUGGGACUGAGAACGGCCCACACUUCUACAGAAGGCAGCAGUAGGGAAUUUUGCGCAAUGGGCGAAAGCCUGACGCAGCAACACCGCGUGCGGGAUGAAGGCCUUCGGGUUGUAAACCGCUGUCGGCAGGGAAUAAAUUGACUGUACCUGCAAAGGAAGCACCGGCUAACUACGUGCCAGCAGCCGCGGUAAGACGUAGGGUGCAAGCGUUGUCCGGAAUCAUUGGGCGUAAAGAGUUCGUAGGCGGUUUCACAAGUCUGGUGUUAAAUACGGGAGCUCAACUCUCGCAUGGCAUUGGAAACUGUGUGACUGGAGUGUGGUAGAGGUUACGGGAAUUCCUGGUGUAGCGGUGAAAUGCGUAGAUAUCAGGAGGAACACCUGUGGCGAAAGCGCGUAACUGGACCAUAACUGACGCUGAGGAACGAAAGCCAGGGGAGCAAAAGGGAUUAGAUACCCCUGUAGUCCUGGCUGUAAACGAUGGAUACUAGGUGUUGGAGGAUUCGACCCCCUCAGUGCCGUAGCUAACGCGAUAAGUAUCCCGCCUGGGGAGUACGACCGCAAGGUUGAAACUCAAGGAUUGACGGGGGCCCGCACAGGCGGUGGAACAUGUGAUUUAAUCGAUGCAACGCGAAGAAUC